AGCUAGAAGAUGAAAGUCAGCUGAAACUAGAGGAGCAGAUGCAAGCCAAGCCCUGAAUUUAGAAAUAUCCCUGGUUACCUGCGAACAUACAGGGUGUCUGCCAAGGUGAUAGCUACCAGAGACCCCAGCCCACUCACUACCCAAUACCUGCUGCAGGUGCCCGCUCUCAGGCCUCACCCUCCAGAGACUUCAGACCAUCUGUGCCGGUCUUAAAGCAACAAGCUCCUGCUCUCCCAUCAGCCUCUGGAUCACAGACACCAAGCACAGCAGGCCAGGCAACCAGGGCCAAUCUGAGGAAAAGGCACCAUCCUCUCCUUCACAGCUUUCCUGGCUGACGGGGCCUCAGGCUAUUUCCAGGGCUCAGAAGAAUCUGCAAAAUUCUGCAGCUGAAAAUUUUUCAUCUUGCUUGCCAGAAGCAGGGGAAGGAAAAGUGCUGUGACUCAGAACAGAGGUCACAGGCUUUGGGUUGCCCCAGCCCCAGCAAGAGCCUAAACACCAAGAUUGCUGAUGCACUUCCACAACUACAUAGGGACCUAGAACUACACAGGGACCCACAGCGGCCUUGCUGCUGAAGGUGCUGCCUCUGCCAGACACAAAAGACUUUUUAUAAAGACAAAGGGUGGGUCUGCUAAUUCCAAAGUGCUUGACUCAGAGAAAUCCAUGCCUGCUGAUAUUCUGCCUGACUUGCAAUGCUCCAAAUGCUAUCUCAGUGUAUCCAUGCUUCUCUUCUGGCAAGAAGGGCAAACUUAAAGCAAAAGAAGAUCAGAUAUGAAAGGGUUAUCUUUGCCACAGUCAAAGUACCUUUUCUAAAGCAGAAGUGUCCUCUUGGUCCAGUGUUCAUUUUCACAGUUCUAAGUUCUAGAUUAAAGGCAUCAAUUUCCUCUGUUCCUAACUGAAUUGCGGCAUUCUACACCACAUUUACUGAGAAUGACUCUCCCUGGUGACUUGGCACACAACUCCUUGGGACACAAGGAAUGAGCCUGGCCCUGGCAUCGACGGACUGAAAGUACCUUCUUGACCAACAGGGGGAAAGAAAGCUGCUGUGAAACGGGAACACUGUGGUAAGAGCAUCUUGGUAAUCACACUCUG